rnacentral:rRNA from 1 species
AUUGAACGCUGGCGGCAGGCCUAACACAUGCAAGUCGAGCGGAUGAAGGGAGCUUGCUCCUGGAUUCAGCGGCGGACGGGUGAGUAAUGCCUAGGAAUCUGCCUGGUAGUGGGGGAUAACGUCCGGAAACGGGCGCUAAUACCGCAUACGUCCUGAGGUAGAAAGUGGGGGAUCUUCGGACCUCACGCUAUCAGAUGAGCCUAGGUCGGAUUAGCUAGUUGGUGGGGUAAAGGCCUACCAAGGCGACGAUCCGUAACUGGUCUGAGAGGAUGAUCCGUCACACUGGAACUGAGAAACGGUCCAGACUCCGACGGGAGGAAGCAGUGGGGAAUCUUGGACAAUGGGCGAAAGCCUAAUCCAGCAAUGCCGCGUGUGUGAAGAAGGUCUUCGGAUUGUAAAGCACUUUAAGUUGGGGGGAAGGGAAGUAAGUUAAUACCUUGCUGUUUUGACGUUACCAACAGAAUAAGCACCGGCUAACUUCGUG